rnacentral:rRNA from 1 species
UGCGUAGGUGGUGGGGUAAGUCUGAUGUGAAAUCUCCAGGCUCAACCUGGAAAAGGCAUUGGAAACUACCCUGCUGGAGGGUUGGAGGGGGGGACGUGGAAUACUGGGUGUAGCAGUGAAAUGCGUAGAUAUCCAGUGGAACACCAGUGGCGAAGGCGAGUCCCUGGACAACACCUGACACUGAGGCACGAAAGCCAGGGGAGCAAACA